UACGUAGGGUGCAAGCGUUGUCCGGAAUUAUUGGGCGUAAAGAGCUCGUAGGCGGUCUGUCGCGUCUGCUGUGAAAACUCAGGGCUUAACCCUGAGCUUGCAGUGGGUACGGGCAGACUAGAGUGCGGUAGGGGAGACUGGAAUUCCUGGUGUAGCGGUGAAAUGCGCAGAUAUCAGGAGGAACACCGGUGGCGACGGCGGGUCUCUGGGCCGUAACUGACGCUGAGGAGCGAAAGCAUGGGGAGCGAACAGG
rnacentral:rRNA from 1 species